GGAAUGAUGUGCUAGUAAACUACCUGUUAAAGUUUUGAUGGGUGCUAUGUGCCUGUUGAACUAAUUAUAAUUAAAUGAUUGAAGUAUUUUGGCAUGUGUCUGGAGUGUAUUCUGCAUUUCUUGAUGCCCUCUUGAGUUAUUGUAUUGCCAGGUCCAUUUCUUUCUUCAUGUAUGAGCUUGGUACUAAUGAAUGAUGACUUGUAUGUGGGAUAUCAAAACUGGAAUGUGAUGAGAACUACUGGUGGUUCAUGUAUCUAUAUCUUUGUAUUUGUGGGAACAAUGGGUGUUACACAAAGUCGGUGGUGUUUGGCUGCAAAGCAACCCUGGUACUGGGCAGCUCUAUCCAACCCUACGCGCUCAAAGUCAAUGAUGUUUGGGGUUCUUGUGUGCUGAUCUUAGCUAAUAAAUAUUAAAAAAUUGCUAACAGAGUUGAAAACAGACAAUGGUAGCUUGAAAAUCUGUCUGCGAAGUAUACAUUUGUUCUAGGAAGUAUUUACAUUUUGUGAUAAUAUAUGAUCCCUAAUUCUAUAUAACCAUGUUAGUGGCAGAGGCAAUUGAUACCUCACAUGCCUAUCUGAAACAACCUAUAUGCAGCUUGUCCUUUCUCACUGUAGUAGAAUAAUUUUAAUGAGUGCUCUUAUAUCAUCAUGUUGCAUAUUGUUAGAUGCCUAGAGUUCAGUGAUAUUGGUAUUGAGCCAAAUAUCAUCGCAUUUGGUGGAAUUGUGUGAAUCAGUGAGAGUUUAGGCUGUAAGCAUGUAUGUCUACACUACUUCUCCUAGUUGCAGUCUAUAUAUUUUCCCUGUGUCUCUGAAAGCCAUGUUGAUAAAUCUCCUCUGAAUAAGAUGCCUCAGCUCCUAGUUGAGUAGAAACUCCUAAUUUGGUUGCAAAGAGUUAGAGAAAUUGAUUUUAUGAUAUAUUUUCCAUUAUUAUUUAUAUUCUCUUGCAUUUUGGUUUUUCCAAUCAAGUAGAGAUAACAUGUUGAAGCUAUUACUAUUUCUUAUAGCACAUUCUUAUUUCUCUGAAGCUAUUUCUCUAUCCAUGGAUGUUUACAUGAGUUUGCUUUUUAUUUCAAAGCCAAGAUUUGUUCUUCUCUUCUUUGCUUUAAUAUAUGCCAGAUUUGGUGUGUGAAUUUUCUAGUUCGGCUAUUGGUAUGAUCUAUCUUGUCCAUCCAAGUCUCCCUGUCCACCUAUCCAAAUUAAUGAGUUCAUGUGCUGCUAGUCUUGAAACUUGACCUGACUUAUUGUUUCAUAUAUUGCAGACUGGUUUGGAGCAGUUGAAAGAAAUUUUCAAGAACUACAAGAAUCAGGCAAAUAAGAAGCUUGAUGACAUGGCCAAGAAGCUUGAAAAAAUUAAACGGAGGGCCAAAAAGCUACUUGAAGCAUUAGACAAGAGGUAGGUUAACAAGUUGGUUGACAAACUGUUUAGUUUGGUCUGUACAUAAAUUAGAUAAUCCAUGCUGGAACCUCUAGUGCUAGAGUGGAAUAGAUGCUUUUGUAAUGCAAGAAGUGCUAGAUUAAUUGUUGCUCACGAUGUAUUGUUCUUGUAAUAUAUUAUGAGACUUCCACACAAGGGCUUCACUUGACCGAUACCUUACCAGAUUUGUUUCCAUCGUUUAUACCUUACCAGAUUUGUUUCCAUUUUUUAUAUGUGAACGUGGAUUUCAGUUUUUGCUUGGGCCAUUCUGUUUGUUUGUACGAAUUGGACCAUAUGUUGCAGAAAGUGGUCAUCUAUGUUUCCAAUUGAGCAACUGCUUCAACUCCAGGAAGACCAUGUCGAAAAGAAUCCAAUGCCAACAGAGACAAAAAGUCAUCCAAAGAUCCUGGUAAGCAGCGCAGCGAUUGCGCGUUCAACCCCAGGAUUCCUAUUAAGCCAUCAUGUUGAUAAGUCUCCUCCAGAUCUGAAUAAUUAGCGGCAAUAACAUCAUAUUUCAUGCAACCACUUAUUUUUUGUUGCUAUAUAGAUAAAUGUAUCGCAACGCACAUACGAAUUAAGACAACACACCAAAUUUGUGGCAAUACUGUUUACGACUUGCAACCAUUUUGAAUUUAGUGGCAAUAAGCCUUGCAUAUUGCAACAAAAAAAAGCUUUAUAACAAUGCAAAAUAAUUGUGGCAAAUUUUACAGCGACUUCCAACCAUUUUUCAACUGGUGGUGAUAACAACUAUCUAUUGCAACAUAUUUUCUAUUGUUGCCAUGGGCUCUGUGGCAACGUGAUAAAUUAGUGGCAAUAUUGCUUACUACUUGCAACAAUAUUGUAUUUCAUGGCAAUAACCCUUAUAUAUUGCCAAAAAAAUCAUUAUAAUAACACAAAGCACAUGUCGCAACAGAAUUAGCUAUUUGCCACCAAUUUUCAAAUGGUUGCGACAACAUCAAUCUUUUGCAACGGAAUUCCACAAUGGUGGCAAUAACACCUAUCUAUCGCAUCCAAAUUUGAAUUGUUGCAAUGGGCUCUGUCGGUGUUUUAGACUGGCAACCCACCUAGGGGUACCCUAGGUGGUCUUUUGUGCGGUGGGUGUCAUCGAGAAUCAAGGAGUCGAUCCUGACAUACGGAACACAAUUUAGACAGGUUCGGGCCGCUAGAUCUCGUAAUACCCUACGUCCUGUGUGUUGAUUGUAUUGAACUUAGAUGAUCUGUUUGGAGGGGGUUCCUGCCCGCCCUUAUAUGAUCGGGGGAGUAGGGUUACAGGGUAGAAACCUUGUCAGGUACGGUUACAGAGUCCUACUUGGUCUAGAUAGAGUAGUUUCCAUAUAUAUUCCAUCUAGUCUUUAGGAGUCCGAGUGGGCCACGCUUCCCUGCCACGUAGCCCCCAAGCCCUGAUCUCAUUCAAGUACGCUCCUGAGUGGGCCAUACAGGGCCUACUCGUGAGCCUGGGGAUGUAUGCCCGACAAGCCCCCGAGUACUUUGUAGUCGAGUGGAACAAGUCCGAGUACUCAGAAGUCGUUAUCCGAGUAAAUCCCGGUGCUUUGUUGUGAUGUCUUCGAGUACUGAGUACUGUCAUGUGGCUAGAAGGUACUCUUCGUCUGUUGUUGCUUCGAGUUACUUUUUCCUUGGAGAUUAUAUGGUAGUGCGAUGACUAUCGCACUCCAUAUAGAGUAGCCCCCGAGCCUUAGGUUGAAUCGAAGAAUCAGGCUGAGGGUCAAUCCUGUGUUUUUGCUUUAGUAGUCUUCAGAAAAAAGAAAACUUUGUCCAGCGGAUACGGUAUCUGCAGCUCCCGAGCACUUAGGCGGUUAUUUGUAGUCGAUGAAGUGGUCAAACCUCUUGGUCAGAGUAUCCGUUGGGAAUUAUGGUGAUAAAUCUGAUUUAUUUCUGACCGUUGCUUAAUUGACGCUUGGAAUCUGGAGGUGAUGGAGAUAUAACAGGGUGGGCCCAGUAUGUUCUUUUUUAGCAGAUCUAUUUUGUGUGCUUCUUUCCUGUUCAUCUUUCUGCUGCCGUCCUUUCUUGUGCCGCUGCCACCAUUGUUGCUCUCUUCUUGCCCUUGAGUGAGAUCCGCUGCCGAUCCUUCUCUUUUUUACUUUUCCCGAGGCUGACUGAUGCAUCUCAAGAAGAUAGGUAAGAAACUGAAGAAAACCCAAGGGCAAGCUGCGGCCGCCAGUAAGGUGAGAUCCAAAUCCAAAAAGGGGAAAGAGCUCGUGCUGCUGGCACCGAAGUGUGGCCUGACAAAUCAGACUGCACCGCCGCUGCCUGGGAUCAUCUGGCAGCACUCCGUGAUGAGGGAACCAGCGGUCCAGGCUUUGGUUGAUGCUAAGCUUCUUCAAUCAAAGCUUGAACUCGAGUGGAGGCCUGCUUUUGGCAAUGCGUGGUAGUUUGAGGAGCAUCCGAAGGAGACUGUCAUGCUUGCACACUUUGUCAAUAGAGGACUGGCAGUGCCCACUUCCAAAUUUUUCAAAGGUAUUCUCGGGUACUAUAAUCUUCAGUUAGUUCACCUGAACCCCAAUGGCGUGCUCCAUAUGGCUAUCUUUGUCCAUUUGUUUGAAGUAUACCUGGGUGCCCCUCCUAGUCUUGAGCUUUUUAGAAAGUUUUUUCGUUGUAAGCCGCAGGCCAGAGCAUCUGGGACGGAGGUUUUUAGAGGGGCCGAGUUUCAGCUUAGGAACUUGAGUGCUUAUCUCGAGUAUGUUUUGCCUGACUCUCAUGGCGACUGGAAAAAGAGAUGGUUUUAUAUUGGAAACCAUGAUCCUAUCUUACUAGUAGUCACUGGACACGCUCCAAAGCAUGCGGAGAAUUGGGUAAGCGAGCCUGAGGACACCCCUGAAAUUGCUAACUUGUUGACUCAGAUUGCUGAGUUGAGAUUGUUGGGCUUGACUGGCAUCAAUGUGGCUGCUAGUUUUCUUAAGCGGAGGGUUCAUCCUUUGCAGCAACGAGCUUGCUCAGGCUCGAAGUACUCGGGUUUUGAUGACCCGUCACGGAUGUCCCUGAUGAGGCAGAGCUCAAGAGAAAAGAGGCUGCUGUGAGUAGCCAGCUUCUUGACUGGAGGAAUGCUCAUGACCGGGUAGCUGAUGAGGCUGACCGUCUCCGGGCAUCACUGGCUAAAGCUCAGGCUGCAUGUGAGCAUUAGAGGGAUAGAAAAAAUCAAAACGGAGUUAUGCUUGCUAUGACCAUGGUGGCCUGUAGAGAUCAUGGUAGGACCAUAGGAAGGCUUCGAGGUGAGCUCCAAGAAUUGACUAGUGCUGCGCAGGACGUAGUUAAUGUCAUCGCUCCGCUUGAAGAUGAUGCUGAGCCUCGCUCACUAGUCGAGCGGCUGAAGACUGCUCCGGGUAAGGUUGCUGGCCUUUGCAAGGCUGUUUGCAAACAAGUCCUUGCAGUGGUCAAGUCAUAUUACCUGAGGGCAGAUUUGAUGGCGGUUGGUGACGGUGUUGCUGGAAACUGCACAGAGGAUGCUUAUUGCUUUAUCUCGAGGAGGCUGAGCCGAUCGCUUUGAAGAUGUUUGAAUUUGUAUCUUUGGAAGAGCCUUAGGCGUGUAUAGCCUUCGAGUUGUAACUUGCCGAGUACUUUGUUGUUGUAUUUGAGACAAUUUCUGAAUUUUAUUUGAAGUUUGAUGAAUGAUCUUGUCUUUGGCUAAUCUUUGUAGUUGGGGGGAGCAAGUCCGAGUUUUAGCCGAGUAGUCGCAUUGUCUGCUGCAGACGUCAAUUAUUGGUGUUGCUGUUCGAAAGUACUCUGACGUUUUCUGCACUUUUAAGAGGAGUGCACGGGCGACCUGUUCACUUUUGUUUUUUGCGGUUGAAUGCCUUCACGUGAGUGGGUCAGAAAGCGUCUCGUUGACUCUUGUCAGUGAUUUAAGGCUUGUCGUCAUGAGCAGACAGUAACUUCCGAGUAGGUAGUGGUUGUGGCGUUUGGCUAUAAAUACACCACCGGGGGGGUCGACCAAGGCCAUGCUUCUCCGGAGUAGCAAUGGAUUGCUUUAUAUUGCUGUUAUUUGGUUGUAGAAAACUUUCAAAGAGUGCCCUGGUGCUAGAAGAUUCCUCGUAGAUUAGAGCCACCUUUCCUGCACAUACUCUUGUGCUCGUAGGGGUAGCCGUGAUGCUAGAAGAAUCCUCGUAGGAGGGUUUAUCGCGUGCCUCAUCUUGCAGCUCGUAAUCCAGCUAAGUCUGUGCUAGAACUCGCGAGUGAUGGGUGAUGGGUGCCGCGGUCUUUAUCCGGCUCUCUUAUUAGAGAUGGAGGUGUGGCGUGCAGUGUGGGACGGUGCGCUGAAGCUAGCAAGGGAGCAUUCUUGGUUCUUUUUCUCCUUUAUGCUGCGCCGAGGAUUCAUCAUUGCCGCUGUCGAGGGAGCGGCAGUAAAGGAAUUCCUGGUGUUGUUUGGGAGGACGACCAGGAUAUGGCUGCGUACUGCGCAGCUUCCUUGCAUGCAGGCCCUGCCUUUUGAUACUGCUUACACCUUGGUGUUCUAAUAGUCGCCAGGCCUGUGUAUCCUUGUGAUACAGUAAAAGCCCGAGGCUUGUGUGUAGACUACCAGUAGGCAGUUGCUUGUAGUCUUUGUUGUGCUGUUUUAUUGUAUUUUGAGUACCCUGGAUCUGUUCUGAGUAAUCGUAUGUAACUUCAAAAAAUUAUCCCAUUCAAAGCAAUCUUGAGUUUAUUUGAUGAUUGCGUCGGUCUUGCUUGAGUAAAAAAUGACUAAAUGAUGCAGUCGUGGUUUUUGCGAAAACUGCUUUUCUUCUGAAGUUGAGAACUCGUACUGAAGCUUUAGUGCCUGCAGGUACUUCUAGGGAUUGUUGAUGAAUCGGAGACUUGAUGAAAGCAAGUCGUUGGUCGAGAGUAGAGCGUGGGGGCUCGCAGUCGGAGAGCUCGAGUAGCUGUGAAUAGCCCAUAGUGACUUGUAGGGAUUUUGAUGAAAUCAAGUCGGAGAUCGGAGCAUUGGAGCUCGUCAGGCUGGAGGCCCCGAGUGGCCCAGAAUAGGGGUUUGUUUGAAAAACUUGGGGCGAAGGCCUGAGUACAUGCUCUGUAGUCUACUACGGGUAGUAGCGACAAAGAUGUUCUAUAUUCUAGGAAUUUGGUAUUUGUUCACCUGAGAGUUCUCGUAGUCUGUAUGUUCGGGGUCCUAUGACCUUGGAUACGAUGUAGGGACCUUCCCAUGGCGAGUUGAGCUUGUGCAACCCUGAUGUGUCCUGGAUUCGUUUGAGGACCAUGUCGCCUAAGUUGAAGGAUCGCUCUUUAAUAUUGCGGUCGUGGUAGCGUCUUAACCCGUCGAUGUAUCUGCCUGAUUGAAUUAGGGCUGCACAUCUUGUUUCUUCCAGACUAUUCCUUCAUCAUAUUGUUCGACUGCAGGAGACUGCCACAUGACAUCUGCGGGGAGGAUAGCUUCUGAUCCAUAUACAAGAAAAUAGGGGGAGAACCCGGUAGACUUGCAUGGUUGGGUUCGUAGUCCCCACAGGACAUUAGGUAGUUCUUUGAGCAAUUUGCCUCCUCUUGUGUUGCCGAUGUCGUGUAGCCUUUUCUUGAGUGCUUCGAGUAUCAUGUUGUUGGCACGCUCAACUUGUCCAUUGGCCCUUGGGUGAGCAACCGAGACGUAUCGUACGUCAAUUCCACUAUUCUCGCAAUAUUCCCAAAAAUCAUGGUUGUUGAAGUUGGAUCCUAGGUCGGUGAUUAUCCUGUUUGGGAAACCAUAGCGAUGUACAAUUUCAUCCAGGAAGUCGAGGACUCGAUCUGCCUUGGGGCAAGUGAUGGGUUUGAUUUUGAUCCAUUUGGUGAAUUUGUCGAUGGCUAUGAGAACUCGAUUGAAGACUCCUGGCGCAAUUGGUAGUGGUCCUAUCAUAUCUAGCCCCCAGCAAGUGAAAGGCCAUGUUGGAGGGAUUGUGAUGAGUUUGUAGGUGGGGACGUGUUGCUGCUUAGUGAAGAACUAGCAGCCUUGGCAUUUGCGGACCAAUUGUUUUACAUCGGCCAAUGCCAUGGGCCAGUAAAAGCCUACUCUGAAAACUUUGCCUAUGAUUGUUCGUGAAGAGGCGUGAUUACCACAGAUUCCUUUGUGUAUUUCUUCUAAGAUUUCUUGGCCUUCUUCUCGGGUAACAUAUUUCAUGAGUACCCCUGAUGAUGCGCUUUUCUUGUAGAGCUUGUCCCCGACUAGAACGUAGUUUUUUCCUCGUCACGAAAUUUGCUCAGCUUGAUUUUUAUCAGAUGGCAACUUAUGAUCUUUGAUGUAGUCAACGAAAGGUGAUCUCCAGUCGAUUUCUAUCAUCAUGAGCUCCUGAUUGGUUUUGGUAGGUUUGAUGACUAGUGGUGUGAUUUGUUUUGGUAUGGAUGGCUUAUGGAGCUCGUGUACAAAAAUUCCUGUUGGAACUUCUGCACGAGUUGAGCUCAUUUUUGAUAAUACGUUAGCAGCUACGUUGUUGUCACGGACAAUAUGAUGAAAUUCGAAGCCUGAGAACUUGUUUUCUAGUUUGUGGACUUCUUUGCAGUAAGCGUCCAUGUUUUCCUUGUUUCGAUCCCACUCGUCAUUGACUUGGUUAAUGACGACUAGCAAAUCGCCGUAUACUAGUAGUCGUUUGAUUCCAAGGGAGAUUACAAGACAAAGACCGUGUAGCAGCACUUUGUAUUCGGCUUCAUUGUUUGAGACUUCCCAAAUGAUUUGAAGGACGUAUUUGAGUUGUUCUCCUUUUGGGGAAAUCAAGAGUACUCCUGCGCCAGCUCCUUCAAGCUUGAGGGAAUCAUCGAAGUACAUGAACCAGUGCUCUGGCCUCUUAACUGGUGUUGGUACUUGAUUUUCCAUCCAUUCAGCCAUGAUGUCGACCAAAGCUUGAGAUUUGAUAGCUGUUCUUGGUACUUGGUUUGAAGUCUAAGGAUAGGGCUCCGAGCUCUACUGCCCAUUUUGAAAUUCUACCCGUUGCAUCCCUGUUGUGAAGGAUUUCGCCAAGCGGGAAGUCGGUGAUGACUGUUAUGCUGUGUUCUUGAAAGUAAUGUCGCAGCUUUCGUGAAGUGAGCAGAAUUGCGUAGAGCAGCUUUUGUAUUGGUGGCUACCGAGUUUUGGAGUCUGAGGUUACUUCACUGACGAAGUAAACAAGUCUCUGGACUUUAUAAGUGUGACCUGCUUCAGACCGUUCGACUACUACUGCGGUGCUGACGACGUGAGUGGUAGCAGCUAUGUAUAGGAGCAAGUCUUUAUUUGGGGAUGGAGCAGUGAGGAUUGGUGGUUUUGACAGAAAGUCCUUGAGUUGUGUCAAGGCUUUGUCUACCUCUUCUGUCCAUUGAAACUUAUCCUGACGUUUGAGAAGCUUGAAGAACGGUAGUCCGUGUUCUCCAAGUCUCGAGAUGAACCGAUUAAGGGUUGCCAUGCAGCCUGUGAGUUUUUGCACAUCCUUGAUGCCAGCUGGUGCUUGCAUAUUUGUGCUGGCAGAUAUUUUCUCCAGGUUGGCCUCAAUGCCGCGGUGGCUAAUGAUGAACCCGAGUAGUUUGCCAGAAGGUACACCAAAAAUGCAUUUGGUAGAGUUAAGUUUCCAGCGGAAAGCUCGCAGGCUUGAGAAGGUUUCCUCCAAAUCGGUGAUUAGAUCUUCCUAUUUUCUUGUUUUGACGACUACGUCGUCCAUGUAAGCUUCUAUGUUGCGGUGUAAUUGCUUCUCGAAGCACAUCUGUAUAGCGCACUCAUAAGUUGCGCUUGCAAUUUUUUAACCCAAAUGACAUUGUUUUGUAGCAGAAUGCCCCAAACGGAGUGAUGAAGGCUGUUUUGGCUUGGUCUUCUUCUUUGAGGCUUAUUUUGUGGUAACCUGAAUAGCAGUCAAGACAGCAGAGUAAAUCGUACCCGGCAGUAGAAUCGACUACCUGGUCGAUCUAGGUUAGUCCAAAAGAGUCCUUUGGAGAAUGUUUGUUGAGAUCCGUGUAGUCGACGCACAUUCUCCAUUUGUUGUUUUUCUUGCGGACGAGUACAUUGUUGGCUAACCAAUCAGGGUGAAAAACUUCUUUGAUGAACCCUGCUGCAAGUAGUUUGGCAAGCUCUUUUUUAAUUGCUUCCCUUUUGUCUUGGGCGAACCUCCAUAGGCGUUGUCGUUUUGGGGUAGCUUUGGGAUCAACAUUUAGUGAAUGCUCAAUCAGUUCCUUGGGCACACCAGGCAUGUCGGCUGGCUUCCAGGCGAAGAUAUCAUGGUUAGCCCAAAGAAAACUAAUGAGCGCGGUUUCCUAUUUGGGAUCUAGCCCUAUUCCAAUCAGAGCUGUCUUAGAAGAGUCGCUAGUCUGGAGAUCAACUAUUUUGAAAUCUCUCUCACUUGCUGGCUUUGCUUUUGUUGGCCCUGAUUUGUUUUCUAGGAUUUCGAGUUCUGUCGGAUGAAGUUUCUUUGAAGCUGAGAGAACUUGUUGCAUAGGGCUAGGCGCUUGAGAAGAUGUUGCGAUCUCCAUGGCUUCGGUGUCGCAUUCGUAGGAUCUCCUUAGGUCUCCUUGUAGCAUUAAUUCUCCCUUGGGUCCUGGCAUCUUGAGUAACAAGUAGAUGUAAUGUGGUAUAGCUAUAAACUUGGCCAGAGCUGGUCUCCCGAGUAUGGCAUGGUAAGAGGUUUCGAAGUCGGCGACUUCAAAUCUGAUGUACUCGGUUUGGUAAUGUUCCUUUGUGGCGAAAGUUUUUGGUAGGACGACUUGGCCUAAUGGUAUGGCUGCAUUUCUUGGUACAAUCCCGUAAAAUGGUGAGUCCGUUGGAGUGAGCAUAUCUGUGAUGUCAGGACACAUUUUUCUUAGUGUUUUGGUGAAGAUGACGUUGAGUCCGCUUCCACCAUCGAUGAGUACUUUGGUCAAUCUUGAGCCUGCGAUAACAGGAUCGAGUACUAGGGGGAAUCUGCCUGAUUCUGAGAAACUUGUCCAUUGAUCCCUUCUGCUGAAGGUUAUGGGUACCUCAGACCAUUUUAGUGGUGUGGGAGCAGCUGGCUCGAUGGCCAUAAUUUCUGUGAGUACCAGCUUGCUGGAUCGUUUGGAUGCGGUACUCGGGAUUCCACCAAAAAUAACGUUGACUGUUUUGGAGGCGGUCUGGAAGUCUCCCUCGCCUUCUUCAUCCUUAUCGAUUUUAUUUUUGCCCUUAUCCUUUUUAUGAUUAUAUUCUUCUGGAGGUGGUGGUGCGGGUAAAUCUUGCAUUACUCGGCCCAUGCUGUAGCAAUCUAUCGCUGAAUGUUUGUUGUUUGGGUGCCAUGGGCAUUGUUUCUUGAGUAGUUCGAUGAAGGUGGGUCCUUCGUCGCGUUUGCGAGAUCCUUUCUUUCCUGAGUUGGUCAUAGAAGCAACAGUGUUGUCAAGCUUGCAUUUGCGGUUUGAGUUACUCGAGUAGUUAUUUCGAGUAUCGGUAUUCCAGUUCCUGUCUUGCUCAUGACUGUUAUUGUCGCGCCUGUGGUUGCGAUGGGAGCCGAAUCGCUCACCCUCUUUAUGUUCUUCGUCUGCCCAUUGUUGUACCAUGACUUUGAGAUCCUUGACAGUGAUCGAUCGUCAUCUGCCAAAGUCUUGGUAUGUUCGACGAUCGUAGAGGCCAUUUUGAAAGCACUCGAUGAUGUCUGUUUCUGAAAUGUCGACUAUAGUAGCCUUUUCUCGAAGAAUCGACGCAGGUAGUCAUAGUGUCUCACCUUUUUUUUGUUUUACUUGACUUAGGUCAAUCUUGUUGCUUGGUUGGGUCAUGGAGCCCGUGUAGUUGUUGGUGAAAGCUUUUGUCAAAUCUUCCCAAGAGUCAAUUGUUCUAGGUUUUAGUGACUCAAGCCACGUUAGAGGUGCGGGUUCCAUGCAUAUGGGAAAAUGGAUGACCUUUGUGUCAUCGUUGCCUCCGGCUACCUAAACUGCCAACGAGUAACACCGGAGCCAUUGGACUGGGUCCUGCUUGCCAUCAUACUUAGUGAUUCCUAUUGGUUUGAAUUUUUUAGGUACCUUAUCCUCAUUACCCGCGUGGUGAAAGCAGGGAAAUGGUUAUAAUUGUCGACUUCGCGUUUGCGUUUGCGACGACUAUUGAUUAUUUCCUGUAGAUCGCUGAAAUUUGAUACUUCGUGAUUUUUUCUGCCAUGGCGAGGACUUUUUGCAGAGUUGGUGCAGCUGGCAUCUCCGACGUCUUUAUGUCAUAUUGGGGCCUCGCAUUUGCUUUGUCCUUGGCUAUGUUGCCUUGGUUGGUUGUCUACUUCAUUGUUGUUUCUUUGAGCUUCGUGAUGGCCAUUGUUGGCUGCGGCACCCCUGCUGCCCUCUCGAUGGGCCGAGUUGUGAGAAACAGAUGGGAUUGGUGAUUCUUUAUCGAGUAGUUUGUAAGCUUGUUCUGCGAGUUGUGCGAUUAGUCCAUUGCCUCUCUACGCGAGUUGAGCUGUUAAUUCAUUAUCUCUGUCGUGAGGUAUGAGAGUUGAUAUGAGAUUGAUUGAGGCGAUUGCUGCGAGUGGAGUGUUGUGUUCUUGGGCUUGUAUUGCGUCGAAUGAUCUUUCAAGGUUCAUGAUAGGGAUGUUUGUGGCUAGCAGUUGUCGACGCUCAGCCCGAGUAAUAUUUCGUGCCCUUCUUUGGUUUCUUUGCUUGGAAGUUUCGUCUUGCGGGGCGUUAGCCGAUGACUCAUCCUCUGAAACAUUAUUGGGCUGUGCUAUCUGUCGAGGUGUUCUCUUUUGGCUAGUACCCACAUUAUUGUUUUGAGUGAUGACAAAAAUUUCUCUGUCUGGGUAGUAGCUUCCAGAGCUUGAUGUUGCAAUUUCUGUAGUGCUUUUCUCGCGGUUUGAAGUGAGCGGGACGCCUUCUUGAUAUGACAGGUUGUCUGUGUGAGCGACAAGGCGCAACUCGUAGUCAUGGGCAAGGAAAGAUGGCUUCAUCCCUGGCCAGUUAAUGAAUCUGCUGUGUGGAGUUGAGGUAACUACCAGACCUUGCGCUGGACCUGAUAAUGGAAUUUCUUGGACGUAGCCCGAGUCGAGGUUGCAGUCCAUAUCCUCCCGGUGUUCGAGUUGGGUUCGAGUAAGGAGACCUUGGUAGACUUCGGCUGUGUUGCGGAGUCCGUACGGGUAUCGUCUCUGAGUCGAAGUCGACUUGCGAGGUGACUGGGGCUUUAGCUUGUGCCGACUAGUUCGAGUUGAGGUCGAGUCGGAGCCGUAGUCGAACUCGGUGUUGUUGACUUUGAAAACUUGGUUUUCCUCGACGAAAUCUUCCAUCUCUUGCUGAAGAAAGCUUUCGUCGAGAGGUUCCUUCUCCUGGAUGCUGAUGAUGUGGUGCUGAAAUGAUCCAGCACCGUCGGCGAUGCAAAGCCAGGAUCCGAAAACAAAGGUUGCGCCUGCCUCAAAGGUGAAAGCAAGCUUGAUAAUGAUAGAUGCCAUCGAACUUGCAUGGAGAAACUCGGUGACGACCCCUACCUGGCGCGCCAGCUGUCGGUGUUUGAGACCGGCAACCCACCUAGGGGGUACCCUAGGCGAUCUUUUGUGCGGUGGGUGUUGUCGAGAAUCAAGGAGUCGAUGGUGAUGUAAGGAACACAAUUUAGACAGGUUCGGGCUGCUAGAUUGCGUAGUACCCUACGUCCUGUGUGUUGAUUGUAUUGAACUUAGAUGAUCUGUUUGGAGGGGGUCCCUGCCCACCCUUAUAUGAUCGGGGGAGCAGGGUUACAGGGUAGAAACCUAGUUGGGUAUGGUUAUAGAGUCCUACUCGGUCUAGAUAGAAUAGUUUUCUUAUAUAUUCCAACUAGUCUUUAGGAGUCCGAGUGGGCCAUGCUUCCCUGCCGCGUAGCCCCCGAGCCCUAAUCUCAUCCGAGUACGCCCCUGAGUGGGCCGUACAGGGCCUACUCGUGAGCCUGGGGAUGUAUGCCUAAUAGACUCUAUGGAAAUAGGCCAAAAAUCUACUAGUGCAACCACUUCCCCUCCCUCAUCAUUUCGCUUUCUUGGAACCGCAACCCCUGCCUCAUCCAUAACUUCCCCCUUCUCUAUCUAUUAGGAGUCCUCCAUUGUUCACCCUCUACCUUCUUAUUUGGCAGUCAAGUCAAUCUCUGCUCAAUCAUGGAUCCUUCCUAAGAAAAUCUUAUGCCAGAUCUUAUUGUGAGCAUCACUAAUAAGAUCAGUGAUGCAAGAGAUUUCAUCAGGUUCAAAGUAAUCUGUAAGAGUGAACUACACUCGUUCAGGUGAGGCAUGCCUGCUUGACCCUUGGAUUCUAAAAUCCAAAGAUAUCGGUGAAUCUAGUGCAGUGACAUUCGCAUCCGUCAUGGAUUACUAGCUUUUUGAUGUCACCUUUCUAGCAUUAGCUGGGAAAAGGACUACGUUGAUUUGUUGCGAAGAAUCUGGAUGCCUAGUCGCAGUACACAGCAAUGGGAGCACCGUGAUCCUGUUGAAUCCUUUGUCUCAUCGGGAGCACAUUAUCCUUUCUCGACUUCCAACAUAGUGCCAUAUGGCUGCUCUUGAUGCUUGUAUCAUGGGCUUGGAAACACCUACUAGCGCAGCUCUUCUAAACACUUGCAGAUCUACUUGGGGCAUCCUCUUCCAGAACCUCCUCAAGCCGUUGGACUCCAGUUAUCAUGGGUCCUUGACAUGAGCAACUCUUCUCUACUCCAAGGUCAAGACCAAUUGUUCUUUGUUGUUCAGGAGGAGAGGAUGCACAACGAGUAGAGAGAUGUUGAGGUGGUGGAAUUUACUCUGCAUUCAUUCAUCAGUGACAUCUAGCAGCCUAUUCCCUAGGAGAUAGCUCCAGAGUUCCAGAAUAAGAUCAUCCUGUUUGGACCUGGCAAGUGCAUUGUUGUACAAGAGCAUGCAUGUAACAUCACACUUUUUAGAGCAUUUAAAUAUACAGGCCUUUUAAAAUUUUCUUUAAAUUAAGUCCAUUUUUCAUCUUCCCGAAUAUUCAAAACUAAUUUCACAAACAAAUCUUGCAUUAAACCAACAUAUGCGUUGCACUAAAUUGCCUCCCUUAGGAAACCCACCUUUUUGAAACUAACUCUCUAGAAACUAGAAAUAGAACCUCCAAGAAUCUUUUUUCUUUCUUCUCCAAAGCCUAGAACUAAUAUUCAAAUUAAAUUUGAAUAUUAAUUCCAUAAGGUUCCUAUCCAAUCCUAGUCCUAUCCCAACAUCUUCAAAUUUAGAUCCCCCUACCAAAGUUGUAAUAACUAUUCCAAGCCCCACUCUAAAACCUAUUCAAAUUUGAAAUCCUUUUCAAAUUUGAGUUCAAACUCCAAUUCACUUAAAAGAAAAACGUUCUAAUCUUGCCAUGGGCUGCCAACCCCAAAAUUGGCUCGAUCACUCUUCCAGCCCAGCCUGCCUCCGUUCCUCCCUUCCUGGCAUGCACACUCGCUUCGGCCUGCUCACGCGCCCGCCUCUUGUGGCUCAGCAGCGCACCACGGCCCAGCUCGCAUCCCUGCGCUAGCCCACCACACCGGCCUGGCUUGCCCCAGCUUCUCCUCCUCUGCACUCACCAGCGUCGCCGUUGGUGGGGAGGAAUUCCCCCGCCGCCACCAUGUGUGACCAUAGGCCUCUACCAAGCCACCACGCUGCAAUUACCGUGCCGCCGGUUGCAAUCACCACACCACCGCCGGACAGGUGGAGCCCCCGGCCAUGUGCCACCUCCCCCCCCCCCCCGCAUGCUUCCCCUUCCCUUAUAUCCUCUGUGCUUGGGACACUAAACCCUGCCCGGCCGCCGUUGUGCCACGCCGGCACCCUACCACAUGUGCUGCGUUUCUUCACCACCAAGACACCCAGGUGCACGCACCUUCUGCCCUGCCUCUCCUCUACGCCGGCAGCAGGCUACCUCACUUCCUCCAGCCGAUCCAAUCUGCCUGGCCAUGCACCCUCUCCCGCUCCUCUCUGCUCUAACCAGCACAUGCACACCUGCUAGAACCGUCUAGCCCCUCCUCUUGCUUAACCUCGAAGGUGAGCUUGGAGUCAAUGCUCUCGGCCAAUUCGAGCCGCCUACCAGGCCAUCUCCCCCGCCCCUAACAAGCGCAGCACUGCCCACGGCCACCUCAUCUGCCUGCCACCAUUAAUACUGCCACCCUUAUCUCCUCGCCGUGCAUGUCCCCCUUGGCCACCAAGCAGCCCGGCUCUACGUGGCAAGCAUACGUGCUCCCUCGCCGCCUAUAAAAGGAGACAGAGCCCCUCUUGUCGGGGAUAGAUCCCGAGUACCGCAAGGAAGGAAGAAGAUGAACUCCUACUAGGAUUUUCUUGUAAUCCUACUAGGACUCAUACCAUGUAAUCCUAGUAGGACUCCUCCUUGUAACAGACUAGUAAUCCCGCCCCCUGAGUGUUGGCGCUGAAAAUCGGCCGAUGACCCUCAGUGUCGGACACAUGACCCGGGUGAAUCUGCUUAACUCCUAUUUGGGUUAUUACCCUGGUGCAGUUUGCGUGGCGUGCCAGUCAAUCUGACCUGUUGAUUGACAAGGAAUAAAAGUAUUAAAUUCUAGGGGCUUCAAUUGGCUAAAUUUCCGAUCUGUCUUGAAAAGCGUAUUAGCGAAUCGGCCGAUUUACUAUAGAGAUGACCGGCUAUAAACAGCUGAUAUCCGUGUAGCAAUUCUGAGAAAAACAACUAGGGCAACCUAGACAACACUACAAAGGCAACACUUGGAAUAGAUCUAAUUGGCUAUUGUGAUGAUAAAGAAAAAUAAUAAUGAAAAGCCGACAAUUCGUGUCUCAAGCUGGAUAACUGGUGAUAAAACUAGAGCAAUAAAUAAAACCUAUAAUUCUAGUUAAUAUUGAUAACUGGUGAAUAAAUCUAAAUGAAACAACAGCGAUGCACCCGAAGUUAAAGAUUAGAUAUUACUCGAUAAGCGGAACUUACAGAUUUUCUAGAGAUCAUGUCGAUGCAACCCUGCCAACUCGUACAAACUCGUGAAAAGAAAAGGUUUUGGCGAAGUCACCGACUUGAAAGUAAAGUACGAGGAAAGAGUAGAUUUGUUGUAUUGAUUGAUUGAUGUUUACAAGCCUCACAAGGCAGCUAUUUAUACCCUGUUGCAACCAAUCUCUUAACCGACUAGGAUCUAUCUCUAAUUUUAAACGAUAACAAAUAUUUAUAAACACAACUCGUAUCGGAGUUGGUUACUAUCUCCCCAUGGGCCAAUCUCCUUUUUUUAGCUAAUCUUCAUCUUGGCCCACCUCAGGCCCAUACCGGCCAAGCCAUCCCGAUUCCCAAUCGGCCAGCCUCUAUCAACUCCCUCUGCCAGUUGGCCGAAACAUUGUAGCUUUAAUCAGCCAAUUCCCAACUGUAGCUUCUAGCCGCCGCACCGGCUGCCUUUCUUCUUCUUUGACGCCGAUUCCAAACACGUGUCAAAAUCCGGCGUCAACACAUGCCCCCCAGUUUCGGAGUAAAACACAACUUUUGCUUCGAAACCUUUUCAACUCUAACUCCUUCCCCAAAGAAAACGCAACAGUAAGCAUGACGAAAGCUCUUUUUCGCUCCGCAGUCUUCUCUCUGAUGAUCGCAGUUUUUUUUUAACGAAGCGCUUGCAGGCAACCGCUAUCCCCAAAAUUCAUGUAGACGGUACGGUAAAAAUCCUGCCUUUACCCUUCUCUCGAACCGUCCUUAAAUAUUCGCAUCCUCCACCGCUUCUUCUCACAAACUCAGAAGCCUUCCUUCUCCGGCGAAUCACCUCCCGUCGCAUUCCGGCACCCUUUCAACUUCCAGCUGCAUCCCUUCGGUGAUUCUCCCUUCAUCUUCUGAUCAUCUCACUCUGGUUCAUUCCAAUGGCGAUCCCAUCAGCGACCAUGGCCUUCAUUCAAGAGGUAAAUACCCCAAUUUUUUUCCCUUUUCACCUUUUUACCAUUUCACGCAUUUUUUUAGAUCUGUUCUUAGCUUUCUCUUUAUAUCCUUCUUAGGAGCUUAGGCAGAGGAUCACCAUCCCUAUCUCUAACGCACCCGGCCUCAUCGGCCAUGGCCCCAUGGGGAAUCCAGAUCCCACUGAAUUGAUCAACUUGGAAACCCACAGGAUCCCCUUCAAGCAAUCGGUCAUGGAUCUAAACCACUGGACAAGCGCAUUUAGGUCUUGGCCGAACGAAACCCCUAGCUGGAGGGAAUGGUUUCAGAGAAUGUCAAACUCCAAGAGAGUUCAUUGGGACGAAAUGAAAAUCGUCCACUGCAUAAACUUGUCCUUAUCUCAACUGGAGAGGAAUGAUUCUUUGGUCAUCGCGGCGUCUUACUUCUGGUCUGACGCACUCAAUGCAUUCCUCUUCGGCCACGGGCCCAUGACCCCUAAUUUGGCUGAUGUCCUGAUGCUAACCGGCCUUGACGUCUCCUCUCGUGACUCACCCUUUGAUUUCCUGGUCAAGCCCACUCAUCGUCUGGAAAUAAAAGGAAUUGGCGGGUGGAAGGGCUUUAUUGAGAAAAAUAUGAAGACUGGGCCUAUCGAUGACAGAGAGUACACAUCUUUUCUGAUGAUGUGGCUAGAGAAGCACUUCUUUUGCGACAAAGCAGUUGGCCCUUCUUCCAACACACAAGCUCUGGCCGAGGCCCUAGCAAGAGGCUCUACUGUCCCUUUGGGAAAACACCUGCUAGGAUCAAUUUACUAUAUGGUGCACCAGAUUGCUAUCAAGCUGUCAUCCGGAGAGCCGAUUGGGAACUCUGGUGGUCCCUGGUGGUUUAUUACCCUCUAGCUUAAUUUAUACAUGAGCAAGGUCUCUAGGGAACGAGUCGAGACCAAGACGUUCCCCAAUAUUGAAUCAGAGGAUGACCCAACAUCAAGACGACGUUGCACCUCCUUUGGUGAGGCAGUGUCAGCUUUUCCUAGCAGCAGAUUCACCCCGACAAAAACAGCUGAGUACUUUAGAUGUUUCUACAUAGGCUUUAGUGAAGAAACCACAAGCUGGUAUCCAUAUCAGAGAGAUGAACCACUCUUUGAAAACCCUGACUGCUUUGACUCAACCAGCAGCUCUUUUGAGAACGAGCUCAUGGACAUUUUGAUCAAGCCUGGGAUUCUUCCAGGAAAGUUCUUCUCGGGAAAGGACUCCCCAACUUAUGAGUUUUACAACCCAUCAGUGGCAACUCGGCAAUUUGGCCUAGGGCAGACGCUGAUUAAAAUUUACUUUGUCGGCCAUGUGAAGUUUCGAGAAUGGUUUUCAAGAGGAUUUGAAUACAAUCGGCUGUGCAACUUGAUGCCAGAUUCCAGCACCAUCGACUUGACCAAUUGGGUAGUAGCACCCUUCUCCGUCCAACAAUUCAAGUUAUGGUGGGGCGAAUGGAAACAACACCUUUUUUGUGCAUCUUCUGCAUCAUAUUGCAACGAGCUGGAUCCCAUUAAUAUUGAUCCAAACGCCAAGGUAAUACCCUUUCUCAGCCAAUUUCUCACUGUUUUUCCCUAGGGUCGUCGCUGACCUCCCUUCUUUGUGUAGUCCAAAAGCCAGCCUCCUCCAACGCGCAGCCGAAGCGAUAGGUCGAUAGAAAGUCACCACCCGUAUACUUCAUUUCCAAUCAUCAGCUUUCACUCUCCGUCGAUGGAAGACAUAGUCACUGGCUGAUUGAAGCAAAAGCUAAAAAUAUCUUCUUCAAAGAAAGCAAGCCGUCGGGUGCGCGCCCGCACGGAAUCGGCUGCUCAAUCGGCACUGCCAGCCGAGCCCUCAACUACACCGACUCUUCCAGUCAUUCAGGAGGUUGACCCCCAAACAACCUCAGAAGUCGGAUCGGCGGCUGCAUCCUUAUUAGUAGAAGCUGUCCAGGUAAUCUUACAUGUUGCAAUCCUUCUAAGUAUACUAUCGUCACUUUAACUUGGCUCCUUAUCAGGUUGCACAAAUCCUCCCGGAGCAAACUUCUCAUCAAACAGCCGCACCUCAAGCAGGGACCGAGUCACCAGUGGUCCUUCCAAUCGUGGUAAGGAAUAUACCUUUUAUUUAUUUUUUUCAAUCUUCAAUUAAAACUGACUGACUCCUUGGCAUAGACAACUCUGGGUACAUCAAUCGUACCUUUCCAACAGCCACCGGCCGCGCAAUUUGCAGAGGUAAGACAACUAACACCCAUUUCUAGAUCCAUUCACCCCCAUGCACUCAUAGAGACUUGUCCUAUCAUACUUUAGGAGGCUGGUCCAAGCACCGCACCAAUCAUCGUCGAAUCCUCUUCCUUUGACGAGCCGGCCGCGCUGAUUCCCGAGCCAAGGAUAACAUUCCCACCAGCGCAGGCAGAAGAAAUCUAUUGUAACGAGGUAAAGACCUUCACUAUUUAAACCAGCCGAUUUCCUACUACUGUUGGCUAAUCCAUAUCUUCCUUUUUACUUUCUUAGGAGCAAGACACGGCCAACAACAGCCUCUUUUCAUUUGUCGUUGCCGUCUCUGAUGAUAAAGAUGUUGCCUCUUGUUAGGUGGCUUUGGGUUCAAUUCCUGAAGAAAUUCGUGCUAAGCUCCAGAGCAUCCGAACCCUCCUUCAGGAUGACAUCGGCCGAUUGGUAGAAGACAUCUCGCCGAUGCGGUAGAUCUUCAACGAAAUAAAAGGUCGAGUCCCAGAGGACGCAGAAGAAACUCUUGCACCCGCGGCAUAUAUCGAUUCAAUGCAGAUCCUGGUGUUCAGAGCCCUGCGGCAUAUGGCCGAUCGUGCCAAGCUGGCAAAGGCGUGCGAAGAGGAAGAAUCCUACAAGCACCGAGCUCAAGAGGUACAUCAUCGAAUCGGUGCACUUGAGAAUUCUUGCUCGGCCAUCGUUGGCACCAUAGACCGUCUCAAAUGGCGUAGGGCAGAGCUCACCAAGGAGAUGGAGCAGGUCAUGAAGGCCAUCGCCACUAAAGAGAAGAAGCUCCACGGUCUUCCGGCCAUCAUCGCCGAUUUGAAGCAGGAGAGGCAAACUCUUGGCCACGAGGCCAUCCGACUUCAUCGCAACAUGCUAGAGGUCCCUGGAUCGGCAGAAGAUGACCAACAGGUACUAGACUCAGCAGACCAGAUCCGCCAGCGGGUGAUUGCAGCCAUUAAUACUCUCCUUGAGUGAAUGUAUCAAACAUUGAAUCGUCCUUAGAACGCUUUUGUACGAACAUUUAAUGCCCUAUUGCCGUUGCUGUGCGAAUACAAACUUGAACAUUUCCCCUUCGCAGCAUUUUAACCCAACGGUCAUUUGCUUUGAAUGGAUGCCUUUACUAACCGUUGCCCCUCUAUUUUCCUCCUAUAAUAUGAGGUCUCCGCGUAUCUCCCAGAGGCACUCGCAUCUCAUCCAUCCUUCUACCCCUUGCUUGACCAUUUUUAGAUCCCCAACCGGGCGCCGAGAUGUCUUCCUCUUCCUCUGUCAAUUAGGUACGAAGUCACCCUUGCGCUCCUUGACCAAUUCUUUUUGAUGACUGAUUGCCCACUGUUUUUCCAGCCAACCCGGCUCAGCCCUGAUCUCGAGCGGGCUAUCGAGAUUAUGCACUCCAAGGAACCACUAACGCAGGCGGACAAAGACUUGAUCGAAACCCACCAUGAGGAACUUAAAGACCAUCUUCCAGCUCACAUCGAGAAGAUUGUGGAUCACAUCGAAGCCAACAACUCUAGGAAACCACCUCAACCGCCAAUUGAGAGGAGCCACCAGCUGCCUCACCAGGUCGCUCUCGAAGAUGCCAUGGUGGACAUGGAGGAGAAGAGCACCCGUCUCCUAAUCCAACUAGGCCGGAUUCAAAGAGACAUUGACGCAAGCAAAGCCUAGUUGAAACACCAUUAACCACAUUGUAGUAUGUUGGUACUUUUAUUCUAAGGGCGACUUGUACCAUGUCGGUCAUGUACCCAAACAAUGUACCCAAUAAUAAUCGACCUGUUUGAGUGGAGAUUUUUCUUGUUUUUUCGUCCUCAAGGUGAUGUCCCCUUGCAUCGGCUAUGCAAACACGAGUCAAUAGGAAUCGGCCGCAAGGGCUCGAUACGCUAACUCAUCAGCUAGGCAUCUACCCAUAUGCUGGGAUAGUAUCUCUUUAAAUAUCUUCCACUCAAAGCCCAUGUAAAUUCUUCUCCUUCGAUAGUCUCCAAUAUGUACGCAUUUCCUGGUGCGAACUAACUGAUCUAUAUGGCCCUUCCCAAGUAGGCGACCACUUACCGUAUUUGGGAUCCUUAGAUCAUAUCGGCAGGACCAAUUUCCAUACCAAAUCCCCUUGGGAGAACUGCUUGAUCUUAACCUUCUUGUUAUACCACCUGGUGACUCUUUUCUUAUUCUCCUCAAUACUGAUCAAAGCCCUCAAUCGCUGACCCGCCAAAUCGUCCAACUCCCCUUUCAUGAGGAGAGAAUAAUCGUCGGCUGCCAACUGAUCUUGAAGUGACAUGCGUCUAGACCCAGUUCUCAAUUCCCAAGGUAGCACCGCCUCAUGUCCAUACACUAAUUGGUAAGGAGAUACUUUGGUAGCAUCGUGGCAGGCUAUCCUAUACUCCCACAAAGACUCGCUCAAAGUCGCGUGCCCUCUCCUUGGUUGCUCCUCUAUCUUCCUCUUGAUCAACUUGAUUAUCCCUUUAUUGGACGAUUCAGCCUGACCAUUAGCCUGAGCAUAACACGGAGAAGAAUUUAACAAUUUAAUUCCCAUGUCGGCAGUGAACUCCUCAAACUCUCCUGAAGUAAACAUUGUUCCCUGAUCAAUUGUAAUGGUCUGAGGAAUAACAAACCGAUAGGCAAUGUGCCUUUACAAAUUCAAUCAUGACGACCGAUGUCACGGUUUUCAGAGGGACUGCCUCCACCCAUUUGGUGAAGUAGUCAGUAGCCACCAAUAUAAACUUGUGCCCUUUGCUUGAUGGAGGAUAAAUCUGUCCGAUAAGAUUGAUUCCCCAACCUCUGAACGACCACGGCUUAAUUAUUGGGUUCAUAGCUGAAGCUGGUGCUCGUUGCACGUUGCCGAAUCUCUAACAAUCCUGACACCCCUUAUAAUAUUUAAAGCGAUCUUCGAGAAUCAUCAGCCAAUAAUAACCAUUGUUUCGAAUCAUCCACUUCAUCUUGUAGGCCGAUUGAUGGGCCCCGCAUACGCUUUCGUGAAUUUCUCCGAUCAGAAUCUUUGCCUCUUCUAACCCAAGGCAUUUGAGUAGCACUCCAUCAAUCGUCCGAAAAAACAAGUCAUCUUUAAGUAGUACAUAUUUUGUAGCCUGAAAAUAUACUCGCCGAUCAACUUUCUUGGAUGGAUCUUUUAAGUAAUCGGCAAUCUCCUUCCUCCAAUCGUCGGCCGCAAGCUCCAGAGUCAUGGCCCCUUGAAUCAGCCGAUACCCAGAAGCAUGUUGGGCAAGCCUAUUGGCUUCUUUGUUGUAACCCCUGGGAAUAUGCUCAAUAAUUGCAGACUUGAACUCAUUCAGUAACUAGAGACAAUCUUCAUAGUAGAUCCUCAAGAUAUCAUCCUUGCAUUCAGACUUCCCGGUUAAUUGAUCCACAAUGAGGAUGGAAUCCCCAAAAAUUUCCACCGCAUCAGCUUUGACCUCCCUCAAUAAUUGAAUCCAUUUUCGAACAGCUCGGUAUUCCGCUUGAUUAUUAGUGGCGGAUGCUUCAAUUGGUAGAGAGAAAUCAUAACUCGCCCCCCGAGGCGAUAUGAGGAUGAUGUCGAUUCCUGAUCCAGCCCCACACGAAGACCCAUUGAAGCAUAGUGUCCACAACGCUGGCUCGACGACGGCAAACUCUGAUCCACAGUGCUAGGCCACAAAAUCAGCCAUUACUUGUCCCUUGAUAGACUUGGCUGAUUCGUACCUUAGGUCGAAUUCUGAGAGGGCCAGAAUCCAUUUUCCAAUUCUCCCGUUCAAAAUCGGUAGUGAUAACAUAUAUUUGACAACAUCGUCUUCGCAUACAACCAGGCACUCCGCCGAUAGCAGGUAGUGCCUGAGUUUGGUACAAGAAAAAUAUAAACAAAGGCACAGCCGCUCCACCGAAGGAUAUCUGGUUUCAGCAUCCAGAAGUCUUCUGCUGACGUAAUAGAUUACUCUUUCUUUCCCCUCGAACUCCCGGACCAGCGCCGAUCCAAUAGCUCGUUCAUCAGCCGAUAGGUACAGUCUGAAUGGCUUAUCAGCCUGCGGAGGGACCAAUACCAGGGGUGAGACUAAGUACUAAUUAAUGUUGUCCAACGCUUUGUGUUGUUCUUCACCCCAGACAAAUUCUUGGUCGGGCUUCAAUUUCAACAAAGGGGUGAAAGCUUGAAUACGCUCAGACAAGUUAGAUAUGAACCGCCGGAUGAAGUUGACUUUGCCGAUUAAGGACUGUAGCUCGAUCUUGUCUUGUGGGGCCACAACCUUGUUGAUGGCGGCUAUAAUCUUCUGAUUGAUCUCGUUGCUGUGCUCGUGGACCAUGAAACCCAGAAAUUGACCAGCCGAAACACUGAAGGCACAUUUGUUAGGAUUCAUUUUCAACCCAUGCUUCCUUGUGCAUUCCAACAGUUUCCGCAAAUCGGCCAGAUGCUCUUGAUGCCCCUUUGACUUGACCACAACAUCAUCAAUGUAGAUCUCCACUAGGACCCCAAUAAGCUUAUGGAAUAUAUAAUUCAUGGCCAAUUGAUAUGUAGCUCCAGCAUUUUUCAAACCGAAAGUCAUCACCACCCACUCAAACAAACCGAGAUGGCCUGGACAUCUGAAGGCCGUCUUUGAGAUAUCUUCUUUGGCCAUUAAUAUUUGAUUAUACCCAGCAUUACCAUCCAUAAAGCUGAUGACUUUGUGUCCCGCGGCCACGUCUAUUAAAACAUCAGCCGUUACCAUCCAUAAAGCUGAUGACUUUGUGUCCCGCGGCCACGUCUAUUAAAACAUCAGCCGUUGGCAUCAGAUAUCCAUCCAUCGGAGUAGAUUGAUUAAGAUUCCUGAAGUCAAUGCACAUGCGUAACUUUCCAUUUUUCUUGUAUACGGGCAUAAUAUCGGAAAUCCACUCGGCAUAGCGACACUGCCGAAUAAACCCUGCUAAUCAAUCUUGUAAUCUCGACCUUUAUAUCAGGUAGAAUUUUAGGAUUACACCGUCAUGCAGGCUGCUGAUAUGGCUGAUACCCUAAUUUUAUAGGUAAUCGGUGUUCAAUAAUGGACCGGUCUAGACCAGACAUCUCAUGGUACUCCCAAGCAAAACAAUCUUUAAAUUCUUUUAACAAACUUGUUAACUCACGCUUAUACUCGGGGUCUAACUUAGCACUGAUAUACGUCGGCCUCGGCUUGCUGCCGUCCCCAAGGUCCACCAUCUCUAGUGAAUCGGCCAACAUAAACCCAUGCCCAAGCUUCCCAUCUUCUUAGAUGAACUGAUCCAUUUAAUUUUAUUCUUCAGAGCCGACUGCGUGGAUCGGCUGUAGACCAAAAUUGGACACCUUCAGGAAAUCAGUGUCCCAAGUUUUGCCAGAUAUGCAUCUGACGUGUUCGCAGCUCCACUAUUGCGCGUCGACCGCGGCAACGCUGUAGACAAAAUCGGCGGUGACUACUUUGAUGGUGUCGCCGACCCAUUGGACGAGGCAUUGGUGCAUUGUAGACGGGAUGCAGCAGUUCGCAUGGAUCCAAUCCCGCCCAAGCAACAUAUUGUAGGACCCUUUGCCAUUAAUAACAAAGAAAGUAGUGGGUAGGGUCUUACUUCCGAUGGUGAGGUCGACAUAGAGUGCCCCCGGGCUGGAGAUACGUUGCCUUCGAAAUCCUUGAGCAUCAUGUUCGUCUUGGUUAGAUCUUCUUCUCCUUUACCCAGCUUGCAGAACAUGGCAUACGGCAUGAUGUUCACAGCAGCGCCCCCAUCCACUAGCAUCUUAGCGACCGGUCAUCCAUUGACGUGUCCUUUAAGGAACAGAGCCUUGAGAUGCAGGCAUUUUUCAUCUUUGGGUUUCUCAAAAGUGGCAGUCAUUGGCUCCAAAGCCAACUGUGCCAUCUGUUCCUCUAUCCCUGCCACGUCGACUCAGUCGGAGGGAACCAUGAACUCUAUCGGCAAGAUGAACACCAUGCUGACGUUAGCUGCCGAAUCAUGAUCGUUGUCUCCUUCGUCGGUUUUUCUUCUGGGGCACCAAACUCGAGACCUAUCCCCUUUCUUAUCCACCCCUUGCCUUUGUUCCUCUUCUCGCUGCUCCCAUUGGCAUAAAUGCUGGACUCUCCAUUUCUGGGACUUAGUUAAACCGUAUGGGCACCAUCUGGGGUUUACUGGCUUGCUAGGCGGUUUUGCACGCUCCUAGUCUGGCUCUCGCCCCAAGGGGGUUCUCAUCUGAGACUCUUGCGUCAGCCAUCUCUCCCAGUCGAUCAUGUGCACUGGUCCUGCCCCCCAGCCGAUUACGCUGGUCAACUCUACCCCCAGCUGAUCUCCUUGCUCGUGCCUGUUUCUGCUAAUUGGCUCUAGUCCUCGAUCCCUAGAGCAUGAUCUCUUGAAUGGGCAGCUGGUACGAUACUGACCGUUGCACUUAGGGCAGUUAUCGACCAACGGUAAUCUAAGGUUACUUUCCCAGCAGUGAAUGAAAAAUGGGCACCUCCAGUGGUCCUUGAGUUGGCACAUCAUCUCUGCGUGACGUCUUGAGUCCUCCUACUACCGCUGGUAUUUGCUGAGUAAGUCUUGGGAGGUGACCAGUCGAUGUGGUCUUUCUGAUCCUUCGCCUUCGGUUUCCAUCUGUCCUUUUCCUUUGACAUCCUCGGUUGAGGCCUGAUUUCUGGGAUCGACGGCGCCGCUCCUUCUGGCCGAUUCUGACGUCAGCACCUUGGUUUGGAGUGCGUUUUUUCCCACGUCAACCAUGUUUGCAGGGAAGAGGUGUUGAUCGAUCUUCAUUGGCUUUGCUGGCUUCACCGAGACUUCAAACUUUAGUCUUCCUUGCUCAAUGGCUGACUGUAUUUGUUGAUAGAAGAUCUUGCACUCGUUGGUGUCAUGAGAUGUGGCAUUGUGUAGUUGCAAUAUUUCAUCUUUUUGAGCUGCUCGGCCGACGGAAUCCUAUGGUAAGGUGAGAGUUUGAUCUGUCUCUCCUAAAGUAGCAAGUCAAAGAUUUUCUCGGCCUUGGACGUGUCGAAGCCAAAUGUCUCCGGUUCCUUUUUGCCGAACGGGCACGAUAUUAGCUUUUUCCCUUUUACCCAUUCUGCCAGGCCGAUUUCUACCUCUUCUUCCAAUUCGGACCCUUCCACAUACGCCACUUUCUUCUGGAAAUUUCUUCAUUGGUCUGAGGGGUGCACUUCCUGGCUGGAUAGCCGGUGAACAAUUUGGCUCAAGCUCUCGAACUCUUGGGAAGCGUAUUUCUCCUUGAUGUGUGGCAGAGUCCUUGGAAAGCGAUAUCGGUGAACUGCAUGUUGGUCAAGACCAGGGUGUAGCACUUGUUCCUGACUUCCCUGAAUCUUUGUAUGUAGCUGGUUACUGAUUCAUCACUUCUUUGCAUGAGGCUGGUCAGAUCUGAGAGUUUCAUCUCGUGGACCCCUGCAUAGAAGUAUUUAUGGAAUUCCUUUUCCAAAUCGGCCCAGGUAACGAUGGAGUUGGGCGUUAGUGUAGUGAACCAUUGGAAGGCUGAUCCGGACAGGGAUGAUGAGAACAGGCGCACCCUCAGAGCAUCUUGUGUAGCAGCCUCCCCGCACUGGAUGAUGAACAUAUUAACGUGCUCCACCAUCGACGUGUCGUCCAGGCCCGAGAACUUGGUGAAGUCGAGGACUUUGUACCGAUUAGGGAAUGGCAACAGGUCGUAAGUAGGCAGAUACGGCAUCCUGUACGUGUAAGUCUGCACUUUUGGUUUCAAACCGAACUGAUCUUGAAUUAUGUCCGCAAUCCUUGCGGUCUAGUCCACCUGCUGCUGAUGCUGCUCCUGCUGAUUCACGACCGGCUGAGGAACCGGCACGUGCUGUUGGACUUGCGGUACCACGAUCGGGUGAUAGACUGGAGCAUGCUGCAGAUCUUGUGGCUGGGCAGUCGGCUGAGGAGCCGAUGGCUGCUACCGUAGUGCAUCUGUUGCCUCAUCAUACAAUAUUAUCGGCGCCGCAAUUCUGAGUGGUUCCGGAGCACCUGCCCCCCUGCCGAUUUCUGAAGUGGUCUGCUGGUAUUGCGAGGCUUUCAGCCGAGAGGCUGAUGGGAACGAUGCCUGAACUGGAGAUCUCCCAUAACUAGUGGAUGGGUCCAGAUCAGCAGAUGUCGCCAUUGCUCCCCAUGGUACCGAGCUUGAAAACGGCGAUUGUACCGGGGGAAUUGGUGCAGGAUGAAACGACGCUUGUGAUUGAUAGAGCGUUGCACCGUUAUAUCCCAGGGGCAUUGAAGUAUUGUACCCUCCACUUUGCAUCUGCAUCGGCUGAGGAGCCGAGUAAGACGUAUUUGGCACCAUUGAGAAGCUCCUGAUUGGUGCCACGGUAGGAGGGGCAUAAGCUGGUCCCUGAUACCCCUGAGCUGCGCCGUUGACCAUGGAACUAAUGACGGCGUUGUACACAGUGUUGGUCAUCACCUUGGACUGGUCGAUCAUAGCCUGAUAAACAGACUGCUGGAUCAUCUCAGACAUCUUUCCUGAGUCCUCGGUGACGGUGAUAUGGCGGGAAGUCGGAAGAGGAGCUUUCUUGACAGUCUCCCCGCUUCUGGUAUGACUAAAGGAUUGUAGGCAUGUCUUCCUAUAUUCUUCUAAAGCCCAUGCCACUUCCUCCUUCUGGUUGUCCUUGAGAUCUGCUUCAGUCACUUCAAUGAUGUUAUCUUCAGAGAUCUCAGCAGCCUUUGACAUGUUGGAUCCUGCUUCGGUCCCACUAGGCGUGCCAAAAGCGUGUUGGCGCUAAAAAUCGACCCAUGACCCUUAGCAUCGGACACAUGACCCGGGAGAAUCUGCUUAACUCCUGUUCGGGUUAUUGCCCUGGUGCAGUUCGCGCAGUAUGCCAGUCAAUCUGACCUAUUGAUUAACGAGGAAAGAAAAGUAUUAAAUUCUAGGGGCUUCGAUCGGCUAAAUUUCCGAUCUGUCUUGAAUAGCGUAUUAGCGAAUCGGCCGAUUUACUAUAGAGAUGACCGGCUAUAAACAGCUGAUAUCCGUGUAGCAAUUGUGAGGAAAACAACUAGAGCAACCUAGACAACACUACAAAGGCAAUAGUUGGAAUAGAUCUAAUUGGCUAUUGUGAUGAUAAAGAAAAAUAAUAACGAAAAGCCGACAAUUCGUGUCUCAAGCUGGGUAACUGGUGAUAAAACUAGAGCAAUAAAUAAAACCUAUAAUUCUAGUUAAUAUUGAUAACUGGUGAAUAAAUCUAAACGAAACAGCAGCGAUGCGCCCAAAGUUAAAGAUUAGAUAUUACUCGAUAAGCGGAACUUACAGAUUUUCCAGAGAUCGUGUUGAUGCAACCCUGCCAACUCGUACAAACUAGUGAAAAGAAAAGGUUUUGGCGAAGUCGCCGAAUUGAAAGUAAAGUACGAGGAAAGAGUAGAUUUGUUGUAUUGAUUGAUUGAUGUUUACAAGCCUCACGAGGUAGCUAUUGAUACCCUGUUGCAACCAAUCUGUUAACCGACUAGGAUCUAUCUCUAAUUUUAAACGAUAACAAAUAUUUACAAACACAACUCAUAUCAGAGUUGGUUACUAUCUCCCCACGGGCCAAUCUCCUUUUUUCAGCUAAUCUUCAUCUUGGCCCACCUCAGGCCCAUACCGGCCAAGCCAUCCCGACUCCCAAUUGGCCAGCCUCUAUCAACUCCCUCUGCCAGUUGGCCGAAACACUAUAGCUUUAAUCGGUCGAUUCCCAACUGUAGCUUCUAGCCGCUGCACCGGCCGCCUUUCUUCUUCUUUGAUGCCGAUUCCAAACACAUGUCAAAAUCCGGCAUCAAAACUGAGUAUAUAUAAAAGAGGGCAGGGGUACCUAGAUUGGCAGCUUGGAGCAUUAGACCAACAGAGCUUAGAACCAUCAUCAAAUAGCCAACAACUAGGCUACACAACACCCAAGCGCGAGCCAUCGGCGAUGCAGAGCCGGGAUCCAAAAACGAAGAUGGCGCCCGCUUCGAUGAAGAAGACGGGCUUGACAAUGACCGUUGCCAUUGAGUUCGCAUUGAGAAACUCGACGAGUUCCCCUACCUGGCGCGCUAGCUGUCGGUGUUUUAGAUUGGCAACCCGCCUAGGGGGUACCCUAGGUGGUCUUUUAUGCAGUAAGGAUCGUCGAGAAUCAAGGAAUCAAUGGUGACGCAAGGAACACGAUUUAGAUAGGUUCGGGCUGCUAGAUCGCGUAAUACCCUACGUCCUGUGUGUUGGUUUGUAUUGAUUUUGGAUGAACUGGAGUUGUCCUUGAGGGGGGUCCCUGCCCGCCCUUAUAUACACGGAAGGGCAGGGUUACAAGUCUGAGUCCUAAUCGAGUAUUAUUACAGAGUUCUACUCGGUAUGGCCCGAGUAGUUUUCCAUACACAUACUUGACUAGUCCAAGUGGGAUAUGCCUAUCCCUUGUCCUGAUCGUGUCCGAGUACGCCCCUCAGUGGGCCGUCCAAGGUCUACUUGUGGGCCUGGGGUGCAUGCCCGACAAGCCCCCGAGUACUUUAUAGUCGUGCGCCACAGUCUUGGGCACUGCGGGCAUUAUCCGAGUAGUUCAUCAUAGAGGUUGCGGACCGAAGUGCUCGAGUAUUGUCGCGCGGCUGGAAGGUACUCUUCUUGUUCCUUCGAGUUGUUUCUGUUCCGGGAAUUUUUAUAUGGUAGUGCGAUGUCAAUCGCACUCCAUAUAGAGUAGCCCCCGAGCCUUAGGUUGAGUCGAAGAGUCAGGCUUAGGGUCAAUCCUGCCUUUUGUCUAUUUUACCCAUGGAAAUCUUGAAAAAGAAAAAACUGACCAUCGGGUACGGUACCCACAGCCCCCGAGCACUUAGGCAAGUUCUGUCGUUGAAGUGCUCAGAAACCCAUUGAAAAGAGUAGUCGUUGGGUGUUUAAGGCAAUUAAUCUGCUUAAAAUCCGUCCGUUGCGUAACUGACGCUUGGAAUCCGGAGGUGGCGGAGAUAAAACUGGAGGGCCCCCUUUCGGUUAGGUUUACCCCCUGCAGUAAUCAGAUCUAUUUUUCUUCCUCCCCUGCGCUUCUGCUCCGCGUUUGUGCCAUCACAAUUGCCAAGCACAACCGCCGCCAUUGCUCCCCCUUGAGAGAGAUCCGAGAGUGAGUGCGUUUUGCUGAGGUUCAAAUCGGCGGAUGCGUACCAAGAAGAUGGGCAAGAGACCCGAGAAGAUCCAGGGCAAGGCUCCGGCUGUGGGCAAGGCUCCGGCGACGGGCAAGGCUCCGGCGACGGGCAAGGUGAAGUCCAAGAAAGGGAAGGAACUGGUGCUGCUGGCGCCGAAGGUGGGGUCGACGAAUCAGACUGCACCGCUACUGCCUGGAGUGACAUGGCAGCAUUCGGUGAUGAAGGAGGAGGCCGUGCAAGCACUAGUCGAUGCCAAGCUUCUGCAGCCGAAGGAAAUACUCGAGUGGCGCCCAGCAUUUCCAAAUGCGUGGCAAUUUGAGGAACAUCCAGGCGAGACAGUGAUGCUCGCACACUUUGUGGAGAGGGGGUUGGCGGUGCCCACCUCCGACUUCUUCAAAGGUAUCCUCGAGUACUAUAAGCUUCAACAUGUUCAUUUGAACCCCAAUGGUGUACUGCAUAUGUCCAUUUUCGUACACCUCUGCGAAGUUUAUUUGGGAGUUCCUCCAAGUCUCGAGUUGUUUAGGAAGUUGUUCCGCUGUAAGCCGCAGCCAAGUGCACAAAGGACAGAAGUCUUUGGAGGCGUCGGGUUCCAACUUAGGAACUCGGGCGCAUAUAUUGAGUAUAAUUUGACUGACUCCCAUGGGGAGUGGAAGAAAAGGUGGUUCUACAUCGGGAACCAUGAUCCUCGCUUGCCUGUGGCGAUUGGUCACGCGCACAAGCAUGCAGAAAACUGGGUGAGCGAACCUGAAGACACCCCAGAGCUUGACCACUUGAUGCAACAGAUUACCGAGUUGAAGGCACUCAGUCUUACUGGGAUAAAUGUGGCAGCUAGUUUUUUGAAGAGAAGAGUCCAGCCGCUUCAGAAACGUGCUCACUCGGGGAGUGAGUACACAGGUCUUAAUGAUCCAUCGCAUAUGUCCGAUGAGGAUAUAUCCGAUGAUGAUGUAGAGGCAUUGCUGGCUAAGUUCUUCAGGAACUAUCAGGGAGUACCAGUGAUCCCUGCCGCUCUUCGGCAGUAUGAUGCCUGGUAUGAGCCAGAAGUGGUAUGUUCUGGCGCUUGACUUGUACUUUUUGACUUGUUGUGAUAUUUGUUUAAUAUCGACUUGUUGUCUUGUAGUCUCGAGUUCUUGCCGGCUACUUAACACAGUCGGAAGAAGAGGAGACUGUUGUCAAGGAGUCAGAGGACGAGCCCUCUCCUCCUACGAAGAAACGCAGAGUAGUCCGCAAAAUGUCUGCGGCUAAGUCUGCUUCAACCCUUGAGAAGUCUCGGGGUACCAAGGUAUGUAGUCGUGUACUCAAUUGUAGCUGAUGAAGUUGAGCUUGCAAUCAUUGUGACUACUUUGUCUUGUUCAAAAAGGUUGUUGAUACGGCACUUGGUGAUGAUGAGGCUGCUUCUGAAGAAGUAGUCGUGACCGACCCGGACGUCGGUAAUGCAUCUGUUGAUAUGGUGCCAAAGAGGGUGCCAGCGACAGAAGCUGAAGUAGCCCCCGAGCUGACCGCACAGGCUCCGUCGGCUACCACACUGCCAGUUACUGACCAGGCAGUUCUGGGGUUGCCCGCCGGAGUAGCGGGUAUUGCAAAGGAGGUGUCGCCAGUAGUCGCUACUGGAUCCGUGUUGUCUAGUGUAAUCGCCAGUGGUAAGCUUUAUGUCCCGACUAAUUUCGUUUGUCCGAGUGGUAUUGUAGUCUUAACUUCUGCUUCCCAGGUUUUGGCGAGAGGACAGCACCGUCAGCUGUUCCUGCGACGCCGAGUACUCGGUCGCUUAUCAUCGAGAAGAAACGUGUGCGAUUUCUGCCAUGCUCAACCCGGUGAGCUUGCUUGUCCAUUGUAUAGCUUUAAGUUGUCUUGAAGUCGUAUAAUGACAUAUUUUGAUGCAGAGAUGCAGAAGAAACUAUCCCUAUAGAGACAAGGGUAGAGUCGGAUCCCCCGACUACAUUAUCUGCUCCCUUGGAGGAUUUAAUUGUUGAGGAGGUACCCGAAGUCGAUGCCGGUCGCCUUGGAGCUACUAUGUCUAUGCUCCAAGAUGUCAUCCGUUUGGUGGAAGUUCCUGCCGCCGCGUCGGGUUCAGGAAGUGCUGCCUUAUCAACAUCCACUGGCAGAUCUCUGGCUGUAGUUGGUGUGGAAAAAUCCAAAGAGGCAACUGCUCUAGGUAUGUUUCUGUAGUCCUAUUAUUGUAGUCGUAGCAGGCAUGUGACUGAUGAUAAAUGUUGUAGGUGCCACUUUGGGUGCAACUCCUCAUCUUGCGGAGAGUACUCAAAGACCAGUGCUCAGCCUACCAUCUGACUCGGAGUUCCAGAGGGCCGUCGAUGUUUUCCGGAGCUUCCAGGUGAAUUUCCUUUGCGUUGUCACAUAGAUCGAGUAAUUGUGAGGCUUUUAACUGAUUGUAUUGCCUUGCAUACUCGGACCCGUCAGGAACGAAGUCAUCAAUUGGAGCAGGAAUGUGCUCGACUGAUAGAAGCCUUAAGGGUUCACGAGGUUGGAGGGAAGUCUUUUGCUGUGGAACAGUCAGAUCACGAAGUCCUGCAGCAAAAACUAGAGACCCGCUACAAGUCUCUGAACAAAAAGUAUCAAGGUGAGUAUUUUGCAUACUCCGAGCAUGUCCGAUUGUAGUACGCUGUGGUUGAACUUGUUUGUCUUGUAGAGCUCAAGAGGCAAGAGGCGGCAGCAAGGAGCCAAGUCCUCGACUAGAGAAACGCACACGAUCGAGUGGCGGAUGAAGCUGAACGUCUUCGAGCCAUGCUGAUGGAAGCACAGGCUGCUUGCGAGCAUCAGCGGGACAGGAAGAUGCAGAAUGGCGUGAUGCUUGCCAUGGCCAUGGUGGCAUGCAGAGAUCAUGCCCAGACCAUGGGAAGACUCCGAGGUGAACUCCAGAAGUUGACUAUAGCAGCUGAAGACUUGGUGAACGCCAUAGCCCCCGUGGAAGAGGGCGCAGGGCCUCAAUCAUUAGUUGAGCAAUUGAAGGCUGCCCCGAGUAAAGUGGCAGGACUCUGUAAAGCUGUUUGUAAACAGGUCCUUGCCGUUGUGAAGUCCUACUACCCGAGGGCGGACUUGGCGGCUGCUGGUGACGGCGUGGCUCACAACUGCACAGAAGAAGCAUAUGCGCAGUACCUUGAGGAGGCAGAGCCUAUCGCGUCGAAAAUGUCAGAGUUUGUCUCUCCAGAAGAGCCUUGAGCGUUUUAUGUACUCUUGAAACUGUUUCGAGUACUUUGAACAAUACUGUGACAAAUAAAUGCUGGCCCAUUGUUUUGUUGCUUGAAGUAGUUAUCUGCAAAGAGUAGUUGUAGUCCAUCUCGCCCGAAUUGAAGUGGCUAGAUCAGCGAAGCCCAACCCCUAAAGUGGGGAACUCUGCUUUGCCCAAUCCUGGGUUCCAGGGUCGGGUGCGGCUGACCCCUUGAGGGAAAGAACUCCGCCUCGCCCAACCCUGGGUUCCAGGGUCGGGUGCAGCCGACCCCUUGAGGGAAAGAACUUCGCCUCGCCCGACCCUAGGUUCCAGGGUCGGGUGCGGCCGACCCGUGAAUAGAGGGUCGGAUCCUGCCAAGCCCCCGAGAUGUGGACCGUGCCUGGCUAGAGUAAUUCUGAGUUUCGAGUAGUCGCAAUGCUGUCGAGUACUCUGCUUUUGAGGGGCACGGGUGUACUGUACUCUUUUGUCCUUUGUGGAUGCACGGGUGUACUAUACUCUUUUGUCCUUUGUAGCAUAAGUGCCAUCACGUGGGUAGAGUCAGAAGUCAUCAGACUCAUUGAUCACGGGCGCACAGUAACUCUUUGGUACAUGGUAGUUGCAGCUCUCGGAUAUAAAUAGAUCCAUCUAGAUGUCGACCCAAACCAAGUUUCUGAGUAGCAAUGGAUUGCCUUCGGUUGCUUUUGUUUGAGUGUAGAGAGCCAUCAAAGAGUGCACCGGUGCUAGAAGAUUCCUCGUAGAUUGAGGCCACCUUCCCUUCACAGACUCCUAUGCUCGUAGGGAUAACCGCGAUGCUAGAAGAAUCCUCGUAGGAGGUUUCAUCGCGCGCCUCAUCUUGCAGCUCGUGAUCCAGUGGAGUACGCACUGGAACUCGCGGGUGAUAGGUGAUGAGUGUCGCGGUCUUUAUCCCGCUCUCUUAGAGGUGGAGGUGUGGCCGUAGAGUGGAUUGGCUCGGCAAGGCUAGCAAAAGAGCAGCCUUGGUUCCCUCUAGGCGUGUCGCGCGGGAUUCAUCGUGGCCGCUGUCAAGGCAGUGGCGAUGCAGGAGUUCUUGGCGUUGCCUUGGGCAGAGGACUUGGAUAUGGCUGCGUUUUGCGCAGCUUCCUUGCGUGUAGGCCCAUCCUGUUGUAGUCGGCAGACCUGAGUGGCCUUGGGAUAUAGUAAAAGCCUGAGGCUUAAAUGCAGCCCGCCAGUAGGCUAUUGCUUGUAGUCUUUGUGUAUUUCGAGUACUUAUACUCGUAUGUAACUUGAUGAUGUAUCUUCGGUUCUGAGUAAAGAAUUACUUUACGGAAUUUUUGUACCAGGGCAAUGAUCCUUGUUGAGUUGAUAAUUCUUGAGUCAAGACUAAUGUAUUUUGAAGUCGGUAAUCGAGCUGAUAGCUCAAGUAUUCAUCAUGAGUUGUUGCCUUGAAGCAAGUACUCGGAUGCUGCUAUGGGUAAUAACGACAAAGGUGUUCUAUAUUCCAAGAGUUUGGUACUUGUUCUCCUGAAAGCUCUUGGAGUCUAUAAGAUCCAGGUCCCGUAACCUUUGAUACGGUGUAAGGACCUUCCCAUGGUGAAUUUAGUUUAUGCAACCCCGUUGAUUCCUGGAUUCGCUUGAGGACCAUAUCUCCCAAGUUGAAAGAUCGUUCCGUGACGUUGCGGUCGUGGUAACGGCUCAAGCCAUCAAGGUACCUGGCAGAUUGCACUAGCCAUCGGCGAUGCAGAGCCAGGAUCCGAAAACAAAGGUGGCGCCCACUUCGAUGAAGAAGACGGGCUUGACGAUGACCAUUGCCAUUGAGUUCGCGCUGAGAAACUCGACGAGUUCCCCUACCUAGCAUGCUAGCUGUCGGUGUUUUAGACCGGCAACCCGCCUAGGGGGUACCCUAGGUGGUCUUUUAUGCGGUAAGGAUCGUCGAGAAUCAAGGAAUCAAUGGUGAUGCUAGGAACACGAUUUAGACAGGUUCGGGCCGCUAGAUCGCGUAAUACCCUACGUGUUGGUUUGUAUUGAUCUUGGAUGAACUGGAGUUGUCCUUGAGGGAGGGUCCCUGCCCGCCCUUAUAUACAGGGAGGGCAGGGUUACAAGUCGGAGUCCUAAUCGAGUAUUAUUACAGAGUUCUACUUGGUAUGGCCCGAGUAGUUUUCCAUACACAUACUUGACUAGUCCGAGUGGGAUACGCCUAUCCCUUGUCCUGGUCGUGUCCGAGUACGCCCCUCAGUGGGCCAUCCAAGGUCUACUCGUGGGCCUAGGGUGCAUGCCCGACAGGGUGCAAUAUACAUCUCAAACAAGAUGUAGGGUAUUACGCUACUCUAGCGGCCCGAACCUGUAUAAAUCUAUGCCUUGUGUCCUUUCUUUUACCUUUGAGUUCCAGGUCCAAUGAUUCCUCACCAACAAAUCUACUACCUCGAGAUACCCCUUGGUAGGUUGCCAGGUAUAAAACACCGACAUCUGGUGCGCUAGGUAGGGGUGAUUGUUGAGAUCAUCAGGCGAGCUUGAAGGACCUCACAAUCAAGAUCAAUCUACUCGACAAGAAGCAAGUCACUGAGUUGGAGUUUCAAGCAGACAAAUCUAUGUCGAGAAAGAAUCGACGCACUCCACGUUCCAAUCAAAGACUGGAUCGGUUUCUACUACAGGGUGUUGCAUACGGCUCGUCGAUCAAGUCACGCAUAGAUUGAGGCAAAUAAUCAAGUCGCCGACGACUAGUUUGACUACUCCUCUCAACUAUAAAACUAGUCGACGAUGGACUAAUUCGACUACUCAUCUCGACUAAAAAACUAGUCGAGGAUGGUCUACUUUGAAUACUCGUCUCGACUAUAAAACUAGUCGGGACAGGCAUCACACCAUCGACAAAUAAUCGGAAUCGACUCCGACUAGUCGGCUUCAUCAAUAAUCAACAUAACUUCAUCGACAAUCGUCCACAAAUAAAGCUAAGUCACUUUUUUAAUUAUUUUAUAUAAUUUUUCUGGCUUAUUUUCCGCAUGCAGGACAACAUGUUGAGUACUUUUUUAUGUAUGCCUCUCGAUGGAAAUUACCCUCCAGAGCUACACUUUGCCAACUAUUCCUGUGGCAUGUUGACCGACAGCCACGGGCUUAGUACACCGAAUUACGGAGGCUACGGCCAUGGUUUUGGUGCAUUGAGUUUUGGAGGCACCACCAUGGGUUUGGUACAUUGAAUUUUGGAGGCAAUAGACACAGAUUUGAUGCACUGAAUACUGGAGGCUCACAACAGCUACACCCUAAGGUGGCACAAAUCCUAUGCGCACAACACGCGCUCUCCUCACCAAAAAGCAAAUAAGUCUCAACGACUACUUUAAGCGCAAUCGCGCUCUCUUUUGUUGCAAUGCCGACUACUUAUGUCUUCUCUUAACGGUUGUCAAUAUCCUUGAGUAGAACAUGCCUCAAUUCAUGAUAGCCUCAGAUCUUCUGUCAUGCCUAAACGCUAGCACGCAUACACGAGAUAAAAAGAUCUCAGACGUGCAAACAGCAGCGCCAGUACAUGUACAUGAGAUACAAAGAUCUCACACACGCAAUGGCAAUGGCUCAACAGGGAUUGAGAGCCUAAACGUAAUAAGCUAACUGCUGGAGACAAAUAUGAUCGAAACAAGAGCAUGACAUACAAUAUUUACAUUCAUCACUGAAUAAAAAUUCAGUAGUUCCAAAUUCUAGAAAUAUGCUACAUAAUGUAUGCAUCUCUUUUUACAGGUCAAGCUUUGGGGACGACUCUCCAGGAUGCUCAACGUACCUCCAGUGGCUCAGAUAGCUCUCAAGCUCAGGGGAUAACCACCAAUUACUACUCGGAAUACCUCUAGUAGCUCAGCUAGCUUCCAAGCUUGGGGGCUAAGCGCCAAUAACUACUCAACUUGCCUCCUACGGCUCACUUGGUGCAUAAGCUCGAGGGCUGAAUGCCACAAGACUAAUCGGAUGAUGACUUGUGUGAAGACUAAAUACCCUCGGAUUGAUUAAUUAAUCAUUCCAAGCCUUGGGUGCUGAUAAGCUACACCCAACAGUUGAUUUUUUCAAGAUGAAAUAAAGAAGAUUCAAGAUUUUAUAUUGACCCUCAGCCUGAUUCUUUGAUUCAACCUAAGGCUCGGGGGCUACUCCAUAAGGAGUGCGACUUCCGCCGCUCUCCAUAUCACAUUCCAAAGAUGAAGAUUACGAAAUCAAAAUGACCAAGAGCUUGAGCACACCAUAGCCUCAUGGCAGCUUCGAGGAACUUUGAAGAUUCAGCCAAACAAAGUACUCGAAGAGCACCAAAACUACUCGGCGAGGAUCUGAAAAGUACUUGAAGACUGCUGCAUUUGACUAUGAAGCGCUCGGGGCUUGUCAAGGAUAGAUCCCUAGUACCCGCAAGGAAGGAAGAAGAUGGACUCCUACUACAAUUCCACUAUAAUCCUACUAGGACUCAUACCAUGAAUCCUACUAGGACUCCUCCUUGUAACCGACUAGUAAUCUUGCCCCCUGAGUAUAUAAAGGAGGGCAGGGCUACCAAGAUCGGUAGCUUAGAGCCUUAGACCAACAGAGCUCAGAACCAUCAUCAAUAGCCAAAAACAAGGCUACACAACAUCGAAGCGCAGGGCACAAUAUACAAUAGGUCAAACAGGAUAUACGCUCCCACAGCAUCACGCACCGAGCUAGGCCGGCCUGAGCUCUCUGCUCUCGUGGCUGCACCCCUUUCACUCCCACUCCCUCCUCCCAAAUGCCACGGGCGAGCUACCCUCGCCCUCCUCUUUCUCAUGGUACCAAUAGUAAGGCCGGAGGUGGCCAGUGGCGCCGGAUUGGCGCCACUCUGGUGAGCCGUGAUGGCGCAAAUGGCUGCCAUGGCAGCGCCACCUGUCUCCGAUGGUGAAACGGUAUGCCCCGCUUCACCCCGUCACCCUCCGUCCACUUCCUCCUCCUACCGCGUGGACCCGAACUUGACGCUAUCGCUCCCUUCCAUCAACCCUCAUUGCCUCGCGACCCUCUGCCUUGUCCAGAUGGACCAAAGACUUAUGGGGCGGUGUCGUCCACUAGUGUUGGUAUAUUUAAUGAUCACAAAUAAAUACGCAAGUGCACGGAUAUACCAUUGUAACAUUUCACCCAAGAGUAUUCCCAAGGGUAUCGUAUUUCCUAAAGAAGGUGGGUAAGUCAAAAGAGUUUACUAUGCAUACGAGUAUAGCAUAGAUGGAUAGAGACAAUACUCACGGCAGGGGUGAGAUAGAUAGAUAGAUAGAUAGAUAGAUAGAUAGAUAGUGUGACACACAUGAAUCAUCUCAAGAUAACUAAGCUAGGGAGAAGGACUAAGAGUUAGCUCUAUGUUCAUAUGUACUUCCUAUAUACUGCAAAGAUCAUACAAGCAUAACAUACAUACACAGUUACUGCUAAUUUCUAAACUCCUAUAGCAUACCUAAAUGUGGGGGAUUACGAAGGACCAACAGGGUUGUCACCACCUGCAGCCUACCCCUAGCAACCCAUGGGGUAAACUUAUACCCAAUGAGGCUAAGCAAUCCAAGCACCAUGCUUGCAUUGUUAACAACACUCCAGCUGACUCGAGCUAUUGUGACAAGGGCUAAAUCCGCUAUAGAAAUGGCCAUCGAACCGAUGCCGUAGCAUAGAUUAACUAAGCUAUACAAGAUAUAUAUGCACAUAAAAUAUAACAUGUAGCAUGGUCUCAAGGCAUACAUGGACGUAUGUAAGCCUAUACUAUGAUAGCAAGGGUAUAUAUGUAACUCAUGCAUAUGAGAACCAAACACAACACUAUAUAAAGAUGUAUACUUUGAAUAGAAUAUAGUCAACCUAGGAAUAAAAGAUACAAGAGCCAUACCUUAGACUCCAAGGAGACUUGGAACCUGAAGUAGAGCUACUCUAGCCUAACUCCACUUACUUGGAAACUAAGAGGGAGAGAGUGAUUCACUAGUUGUGUGUGUCCUAGAAUAGAGCCCCUCCCCUCAUAUGUAUAGGCUCCAAGAGGUGGUUCUAGCAGGGGAUCUUUGGCGAAUAUCCCAUAACCGACGUAGGGGAGUCACCACCAGUCGCCACUUAGAAGCAGAUCAUGAGGGGGGAGGCAGUUUGACCAAUCCAAGGGUUCGGCCGUGUGGCGGAACCACCCAAAUUAACCUGACUAAAAUGCACUUAAGUCACCUGACAUGCGAUCAUGCACUUUAAGCAAGCCAACUUGGUCAUCCGUCGUAUUUCAUCCGAUAAACCACUUACUCAGGAUCGAGAAGCAUCGCUCACACGAAGGUGAGUGGGCACAGAGAUUACAACAAUCCCAUCACGUUAACAUAGUUCAACAAUUUAUUACAUUAGAGUUUUCGAAAUUCAAACAGAGUUUGCAAGGUUGUAAACAAUGAAGAAGUAAAACAAACGGAAGCUACACGACGACACACAAUACCAUGGUGAAGCCGACCAUGAUAUCAAUUUCCACGAUCCACGCUGUCUGAGGACGAUUUCCACUCGACCGUCCAACCCAGAGGGAGUUGGGUCAACCAAGUCAAACUGGCAACCAUUUCCUCGAAAUCAGCACUACCUGAAAACAUAGCCAGAAGCAAGGCUGAGUAUACUAAUACUCAACAAGACUAACCCGUCAGGUGGUAACUACUCCACCAACUCCUAGACAUGCAAGGCUUUUUGGCUGUGGGUUUGUUUUUGCCAAAAGAGACUAAAGUUGGUCCUUACUUUCAAUAUUUUAGCUCAGAUUCUAAGUUCAUUAACCAGUCUAAAUUAGCAACUUAUACUAAGCAAGCAUUGUUUCCAAACAAUUUAAGGGACAAGCAUCAAGAUUAAUAUCAUCAUCAUGUUCCAUCUUUACUCAAUGUGGAAUAGCGACCAAGCAGUCCCAAACUGUGAGAGGCAGACAAAUCGAUUCGAAUUUGUUAACCAUGCAUGGCGAACCUAAACCCACGACAUCCACGCACCACGAAGGGUUGCUUCACUUGUUAGCCGUCCCCAUCGAUCUCUUAGGCACGUGUCAGGUCCAAACUUCCUUUGGCAUGCAAGGCUCCAUCAUCCUGGUCUCUGCCAUACUAUGACCGCACUUGCAUCCACAUGAUGCACCAUGGGAACGGCGUUCCAAGGACAGUAGGAAUAUAAGCCACGCCCCAGUUCAAUGAGGUACUAGGCUUCGUCAUCCCAUACUAGGUAUGAGAUUAGUAGUUUCAAACACUUGAUCAUGAACGCCGACGCGUUUUGACCUUAGCAAGUUCAUUACUAGACAGACGGGGCAAACCACCACAUCGAACCAUUCCCGGUCCCAUCUGUCAUCCUUAUAGUUGUAGUAUGAGUAACCAACAACUCCUAUAACUCGCGAGUGACAGGCAAUCACUUGACUUUUACCAAGUCCUAUUUAGCACAGCAACUACUUGACUUUAGCAGCUAGUGUUCAGAUUAAAGUUACUAAGUUUAUGCAUCUAAGGUUUCAAUCAACUCCUAUAAAUGUAAAUGCACAAUCAUAAGCAUCAACAUAUUGCAUAAUUUAAAAAUAGGAAAACAUGCACCGGGGCUUGCCUUCAGGUUCAAAAAAA
rnacentral:lncRNA from 1 species